rnacentral:misc_RNA from 1 species
GAAAUGCGAUAAUUAAUGUGAAUUGCAGAAUUCAGUGAAUCAUCGAGUCUUUGAACGCACAUUGCGCCCCCUGGUAUUCCGGGGGGCAUGCCUGUCCGCGCGUCAUUGCUGCCCUCAAGCACGGCUUGUGUGUUGGGCUUCCGUCCCUGGCAACGGGGACGGGCCCAAAAGGCAGUGGCGGCACCAUGUCUGGUCCUCGAGCGUAUGGGGCUUUGUCACCCGCUCCCGUAGGUCCAGCUGGCAGCUAGCCUCGCAACCAAUCUUUUUAACCAGGUUGACCUCGGAUCAGGUAGGGAUACCCGCUGAACUUAAGC